AGUAACACGUGGGUAAUCUACCUCCAGGUCUGGGAUAACCUCGGGAAACUGGGGCUAAUACCGGAUAAGACCACGAGGUCCUCGGACUUCGCGGGAAAAGAUGGCCUCUGCUUGCAAGCUAUCUCCAGGAGAUGAGCCCGCGGCCCAUUAGCUAGUUGGCGGGGUAACGGCCCACCAAGGCGACGAUGGGUAGCUGGUCUGAGAGGACGACCAGCCACACUGGAACUGAGACACGGUCCAG
rnacentral:rRNA from 1 species